rnacentral:misc_RNA from 1 species
GUGCUUGGGCAUCGAACUGCUUGCGCUCGGCAACCGCUCAGUGUUUUGCUUCGAGGGCCAAGUGUCCUCGAGACUUUCRGGUUCCUGUGUUGCAUACCCAACGAGACGGAAUUAGUUGCCAUCGGUGCCCCUUUCCUCCUUGUUCCCUACACGGGCACGAGGAGGACACCAAAGUAGCGCACGUGUCCCUGGCGAGUCUCAACUUGUUGUGUGGCAAGCCACGGUCCGCGUGCCUUACUCGUCCCCUCGGAUGCAGAACAUGUGGGCGUGGGUUUUAUUACCWUUGAACGUCCGACAUUAUAGCUCCAUUCUCGUACGAUUGCCGUGUCCGUGGUGGCCUUUCGACCCUAGUGGCGUUGGGCGCGCGCGGCACAAGCAUCGCGUAGGAA